rnacentral:rRNA from 1 species
UACGGGGGGGGCAAGCGUUGUUCGGAAUUACUGGGCGUAAAGGGCUCGUAGGCGGCCAACUAAGUCAGACGUGAAAUCCCUCGGCUUAACCGGGGAACUGCGUCUGAUACUGGAUGGCUUGAGGUUGGGAGAGGGAUGCGGAAUUCCAGGUGUAGCGGUGAAAUGCGUAGAUAUCUGGAGGAACACCGGUGGCGAAGGCGGCAUCCUGGACCAAUUCUGACGCUGAGUGAGCGAAAGCCAGGGGAGCGAACGGG